rnacentral:rRNA from 1 species
GACGAACGCUGGCGGCGUGCUUAACACAUGCAAGUCGAACGGAAAGGCCCUGCUUUUGUGGGGUGCUCGAGUGGCGAACGGGUGAGUAACACGUGAGUAACCUGCCCUUGACUUUGGGAUAACUUCAGGAAACUGGGGCUAAUACCGGAUAGGAGCUCCUGCUGCAUGGUGGGGGUUGGAAAGUUUCGGCGGUUGGGGAUGGACUCGCGGCUUAUCAGCUUGUUGGUGGGGUAGUGGCUUACCAAGGCUUUGACGGGUAGCCGGCCUGAGAGGGUGACCGGCCACAUUGGGACUGAGAUACGGCCCAGACUCCUACGGGAGGCAGCAGUGGGGAAUAUUGCACAAUGGGCGGAAGCCUGAUGCAGCAACGCCGCGUGCGGGAUGACGGCCUUCGGGUUGUAAACCGCUUUCGCCUGUGAUGAAGCGUGAGUGACGGUAAUGGGUAAAGAAGCACCGGCUAACUACAUG